CCCUUUCUGACAUUUCUAGUCAAAAAGACCGUGGUACAGUACUAAAAUUCUGAAGACUUUGUCAAUUGGCAGUUUCAACGAAUACAAUUCGUGUCAUUGCAUGCGUGCUGCCCAAACCUGAAGCCUUUUUUUGUCCAUUAUCUUGCGAAGCAAGUUAAAAUUGUCGAAGCUAGUUUCCAAGAACAUUCCGACAAUGUCUACACAAUUACUGAGUGGCGAAAGUUUGCUAUGAUUCUGGUGCAUCAUCGAUCAAGCUCUCAGAUACGAAGGUUGGGCUGAUAACAAGUUGUAAUGAGUUUCUGGGGAAUAUUUGAUAUACAAUUUGGGAUCUUCAAUUAUGGAUUUGAUGUAGUAUUUCGGAUUUUGAUCGUAGAUCGCUGGGGUGGGAAGAAGAAGAAGAAGAGAGGUCCAAGAUUUUGGUCGUCUUUCGGAGCAAGGUUUGGGUUUGUUUCGGAAGAGGUUACUGCUAGAAUUUUGAUCGAGUUUGGGAGGAAGCUUUCAAUAGGUUGCUGAUAACCUGCUUGAUCAAGCUACUAGCAGUUUAGAAAUUUUCAUACUUUGUUCUCAGACCCUUAGAAGCAAGUUUGGCAAUCAUAAGAAACUGUGUGACAUUCUUAUUCCAACGGCAAUGCGAAUGUGAAUGGAAAUCAAAAUGGAGUGAAUGGAGAAGACCAUCAAAUACUAAAUAACUGCUAGAAGAGCUACUGGUACGAGGAAUAAAUCGAAGAAAACUUAAGAAGCAGCUUUCCUCUUAAGAGCAGCUAAAUCAAUGGCUGUGGGACAUUAUGGAUGAGUUUGUGUACCAGUUUCAGAGCUUCUGUCAGUAUAGGGCUAAGAUGAAGAACAAGACUGAGCAGGAGACUACUUUUCUCAGACAGUUUGAUCAAGUCUUGAAGAAAAAGAUUGAUCUAUUUGAGCUCCGGUGAUAUGGCUAUUGCAUGUUUAGAGCUCUAGCAUGCUUGCACAAACAGGGUGUGGUGCACAGAGAUGUUAAGCCCGGAAACUUCCUCUUCUCUCAGAAGCUAAGCAAAGGUUACCUGAUUGAUUUCAACCUUGCCAUGGUUUGGCAAACAGCUUCUCUGUGCCAUUUGGUUCACACAGCAGCUCUUCUUGCUGCGCCCCUCACAAAAAACCCCAAUAUUGUAGCAAGGUGAAAAGCUUACCUGCUGUGUGUCGACGUUUCCGCUUUGUUCCCCAUGCGCGUGGUGAGUGUUCUUGGAACUUCUGGACUGUACAUGUCAGGAUCAUAUGUUGAGCAAAGACCUUAGACACAGAGUUUCAGAUGAUUCUACUUGACAGCCCAUCGCAUCUCAUCAACGCAGAAGAUGCAUCAACAGCAGACGAACCAACUGAUAAAACAUUAGAAGAACUCAUGUGAAGUAAUUGGUUUGAACUAAAAAAAAAGCUACAUCACAAGUUCAGGAGCUGGUGAACUCAACCUUUCAACACAGUCCUCAUGUGGAAGCUAUGAGUCCCCCUUCUUUCUUAAAGAACGACCUGGACUUUUUGAAUACAUUGAAAAAGGACUCAGAAGGAAAUGGACAUAUGGUUAUCCUGAUUGCUGACAGAGCAGGACUUUUUGAAUACAUCAGUGCUACCUUCCCAUUAUGUUCAAUUUGUAAUUAUUGAUUCUACUAAAAAAUUUGUGUAAUUCAAAAGUUAUACCAACCAAUUCAUAACCUAAACAACUUCCACAAGUUCAUGUCUGUAAAAUUCAACAAAAACAAUUCGUCCCUAUGAUCAUACAGCAAUAAUUCCCGCAGCAAAGUGCGGGCAAAUCCACACUAGAGAAGAGGUUAUCAUUAUCUAAUCAGUAAAAAUUUCCGCACUAGAGAAGAGGUUAUCAUUAUCUAAUCCUUAUCAUUAUCAUUAUCCUGAUUGCUUCACUAAAAAUUUCUGCGACUUAAACCUAUUUCUGCAAGUACACUACAGAUGCAAAGCCAGUUAAGGGAGGUAAGACUCCCAAUGCUUUUAAGUGUUCCUUUGGUGAAAUUCGCCAUGUACUGUGACUUGUUCAAAAUCAAGUGAAGAUUUCCUUCUUGAGACAUGCAAACAUGCAAGUCCCAUGAAUCCUAGUUCUCUAUAGAUGAAGUUGAUAAAAUUUAAAGCAAGACAUGUAGAAGGCUAAAGGAGAAAAUCCACAAAUUGGUUGUUUGGCUAAGCUAGACGCAAUUCUUAUAUGUACUGAAUGCUUUGGUUUCCAGUCAACUUUAGAUUGCAUGGACACAGUUUUUAUAUGUACUGAAUACUUAAAGCAAUUCAAGUAUUCAACUAAAGAAAAUGACCUAGUUAACUCUUAUACAUAUACUAGUGCAAAUGACACACCAUAUCCAGAAAUCCAAAACAUGAACUCCUAAGAAGAGUAAAGAAAAAAGAAGAAGAGACAUCAAUGAUACAAACAAGUUCUAAAUAUAAAAACUCAAUCUUCUAACUUGAAAUCAUCAACAUAACUAAGAAAGCCAAUUUCAUAACAUCCAACAAACAGGAAGUUUUGAGUUGCAAGUAACAGACAAUAGCUGUCAGAUUCAGGGUGAUCAUUCGCGUCACAUAAGUAUAUCCAACUUCAUAUUCAAUUCCAAGAUUUAUAAUCAAAGACCAACUACAUGUAGCGAAAAUAAGUAACGACAUAUACAUAAAUUGGCCAGGAAAGUAAUUGAUAUGAAAACAGAGAAAGUAAGCUGCAAUUACCUGCCA